UGGGGAAUUUGGACAAUGGGCGAAAGCCUGAUCCAGCAAUGCCGCAUGUGUGAAGAAGGCCUUCGGGUUGUAAAGCACUUUUGUCCGGAAAGAAAUCCUUGGCUCUAAUACAGUCGGGGGAUGACGGUACCGGAAGAAUAAGCACCGGCUAACUACGUGCCAGCAGCCGCGGUAAUACGUAGGGUGCAAGCGUUAAUCGGAAUUACUGGGCGUAAAGCGUGCGCAGGCGGUUUGCUAAGACCGAUGUGAAAUCCCCGGGCUCAACCUGGGAACUGCAUUGGGUGACUGGCAGGCUAGAGUAUGGCAGAGGGGGGUAGAAUUCCACGUGUAGCAGUGAAAUGCGUAGAGAUGUGGAGGAAUACCGAUGGCGAAGGCAGCCCCCCUGGGCCAAUACUGACGCUCAUGCACGAAAAGCGUGGGGAGCAAAACAGGAUUAGAUACCCCUGGUAGUCCACGCCCUAAAACGAUGUCAACUAGUUGUUGGGGAUUCAUUUCCUUAGUAACGUAGCUAACGCGUGAAGUUGACCGCCUGGGGAGUACGGUCGCAAGAUUAAAACUCAAAUGAAUUGACGGGGUCAUAGCUG
rnacentral:rRNA from 1 species